rnacentral:rRNA from 1 species
AUACGAAAGGGGCUAGCGUUGUUCGGAAUUACUGGGCGUAAAGCGCACGUAGGCGGCAUUGUAAGUUGGGGGUGAAAUCCCGGAGCUCAACUCCGGAACUGCCUCCAAAACUACAAAGCUCGAGGAUGUGAGAGGAGAGUGGAAUUCCAAGUGUAGAGGUGAAAUUCGUAGAUAUUUGGAAGAACACCAGUGGCGAAGGCGACUCUCUGGCACAUUUCUGACGCUGAGGUGCGAAAGCGUGGGGAGCAAACAGGAUUAGAUACCCUAGUAGUCC